rnacentral:rRNA from 1 species
UGAGGAAUAUUGGGCAAUGGGCGCAAGCCUGACCCAGCAACGCCGCGUGGAGGAAUGAAGGCCUUCGGGUUGUAAACUCCUUUUACGGGGGAAGAGGAAGGACGGUACCCCGAGAAUAAGUCACGGCUAACUACGUGCCAGCAGCCGCGGUAAUACGUAGGUGACAAGCGUUAUCCGGAAUUACUGGGCGUAAAGCGCACGCAGGCGGCGCGCUAAGUCUGACGUGAAAUCUCUCGGCUUAACCGGGAGGGGUCGUUGGAGACUGGCGAGCUUGAGGCGAUGAGAGGGGUGUAGAAUUCCCGGUGUAGUGGUGGAAUGCGUAGAUAUCGGGAGGAAUACCAGUGGCGAAAGCGGCACCCUGGCAUUAGCCUGACGCUCAUGUGCGAAAGCGUGGGGAGCGAACGGG